CUCAAGAGCAAGGAUAACACAGGAACUUAUCAAACCUCAAGGUACAGUCCAAUCCUUCACUAGUGCUUGAGAAAUGGCCGGCCAAAGCAGCCACAGCCUGAAGCUACUUGGCAUGUUCGCGAGCCCGUUCGCUCUGCGUGUGCAGCUUGCGCUGAGCUUCAAAGGCUUGAGGUACGAGUACCUCGAGGAGAAGGACCUCCACAACAACAAGAGCGAGCUCCUCCUAAGUCCAACCCCGUGCACAAGAAGGUGCCCGUGCUCAUCCACGACGGCAAGCCCGUGUGCGAGUCCACGAUCAUCGUUCAGUACCUCGACGAGGCGUUUGUAACACCCAGUGUUAGUAAAAAAAUCAAAGGAAGAAGACAACGUACACCUCAACCAAGGCGCACCACCCACCAUAUACACACUAACCCACCCCCUCGUUCCUACCAAGAGUCAGCUAAAACACAAGCAAAGAAAGGUUCGAAAGCUCUAUGCACAAAGCUGAAAAUGGCUGGAGAAGACGAGCUGAAGCUGCUCGGCAUGUGGGCGAGCCCGUUCGUCCUGCGAGCGAGACUUGCGCUCAGCUUCAAAGGCCUGAGGUAUGAGUACGUCGAGGAGAAGAUCUUCGGAAACAAGAGCGAGCUCCUUCUCAAGUCCAACCCAGUCCACAAGAAGGUACCCGUUCUCAUACACAACGGGAAGCCCAUCUGCGAGUCACGGAUCAUCGUGCAGUACAUCGACGAGGUCUAUGGCGCUGCUCGCCCUUCCCUCCUCCCCGCCGACCCCUACCACCGUGUUGUGGCUCGCUUUUGGGCUGCCUACAUCGACGAUAAGCUGUUCAGCUCGUUCAUGAUGAUGAUCAUGGGCAAGACGGAGGAGGAGAAGGCAGAGGGGAGGAAGCAGUUGUUUGCCGCGGUAGGGACCUUGGAGGGAGCACUGAAGGAGUGCUCUAAGGGGAAACCCUUCUUCGGCGGCGACAGCGUCGGUUUCGUCGACAUUGCGCUGGGAGGCUUCGUCGCUUGGGUGCUCGCGAGGGACAGGUUGUCUGGCUUGAAGCAUUUUGACGCCGAUAGGAGCCCGCUCCUGGCGGCGUGGCUGGAGCGCUUCAGCUCACUGGACGAGACCAAGGCUGUCAUGCCGGACGUGGAGAAGCUGGUCGAGCUCUCCAAGAGGAGGCAAGCCCAAGCUGAUGCGGCUGCCGCCGCUGUGCAAGGUAAUCGAAGUGGCUGAAGCCCAUUUGAGCAUUAGCUUGGAGUCAGCUGCUUUGCUAUUACAUUCUCUCAGAAUGAAAGAACAGCUAUGAUGUUACCUUUCUGGCAUGCAAAAUAAACAAAGGUUGAUCUCGGCAUCGGAUUAGAAUAAAGCUUUGUCAAAGUGAACUGUUCUGUUUCUUAUCAGUUUUCUGGGUUUUGCAACAGUACAAGUGAUCUCGUUGCAUUGGCAUUUCA